rnacentral:rRNA from 1 species
AACGAACGCUGGCGGCAGGCCUAACACAUGCAAGUCGAACGAUAAGCCACCUUCGGGUGGUGGACAGUGGCAGACGGGUGAGUAACGCGUGGGAACGUGCCUUUCGGUUCGGGAUAACCCAGGGAAACUUGGGCUAAUACCGGAUACGCCCUUCGGGGGAAAGAUUCAUUGCCGAAAGAUCGGCCCGCGUCGGAUUAGCUUGUUGGUGGGGUAAUGGCCUACCAAGGCGACGAUCCGUAGCUGGUCUGAGAGGAUGACCAGCCACACUGGGACUGAGACCCGGCCCAGACUCCUACGGGAGGCAGCAGUGGGGAAUAUUGGACAAUGGGCGAAAGCCUGAUCCAGCCAUGCCGCGUGGGUGAAGAAGGCCUUAGGGUUGUAAACCCCUUUCAGCGGGGACGAUAAUGACGGUACCCGCAGAAGAAGUCCCGGCUAACUCCGUGCCAGCCGCCGCGGUAA